rnacentral:rRNA from 1 species
UACGGAGGGGGCUAGCGUUGUUCGGAAUUACUGGGCGUAAAGCGCGCGUAGGCGGCUUUGUAAGUUAGAGGUGAAAGCCCGGAGCUCAACUCCGGAACUGCCUUUAAAACUGCAUCGCUUGAAUCCAGGAGAGGUGAGUGGAAUUCCGAGUGUAGAGGUGAAAUUCGUAGAUAUUCGGAAGAACACCAGUGGCGAAGGCGGCUCACUGGACCGGUGUUGACGCUGAGGUGCGAAAGCGUGGGGAGCAAACAGG